rnacentral:ncRNA from 1 species
AGUGUGUUUUAUCCUAGCUCUGCUCUCUACUAGAAAAAUAAAUGUACAUGUAUGUUUUUGCGCGUAAGAAUUUUCUUUUUAAGAAAGAAGUAAAAAAUUAGCUCUCAGUGCGUUGAUUUAGGAAAAUAAGAUAAGUCUUGAUCUAGUUAUUUUUUAUAGUCCAGGCUAAAUUUGUGCCAGCAGCUGCGGUUAAACUGGAUGGGCUAGUAGAGAACUUUUGGUUUUGUGAUUUAGGAGGAGAUUUAUGGGUUAAAUUUAUAUUUCUAUUAAUGAAAAAGGUGUAAUUUAGUUCUUAAUUGAGAUUUUUACUACUAUAAAUUUAUCUUGAGGUCACUAAGGUCUUGAUUGAAAACAGGAUUAGAUACCCUGGUAUCCUUGACUCUAAUUUGUAAAACCGAAGUAGUAACCAGUUAUUAUCUUGAAACUUAAAGGAUUUGGCGGUGUUUUAGUCUAGUUAGAGGAACCUGUUCUGUGAUCGAUAUGCCACGAAGUAUCUUACUUCACCUAGUAAUUUUAUAUUUAUCAGCUUGUAUACCGCCAUUAACAGGCAAUUUCAAUAGAGAUGUGUUGAAAUAAGAGGUAGAAAACUUAGAAAAUUAGGUCAAGGUGCAGCUAAUGGUGAAGGUUGAAAUGGGUUACAAUUUAACAAUGAAAAUUACGGAUUAAUACUUGAAAUAGGAUUAUGAAGGCGGAUUUAAAAGUAAGAUUUGUUUAAUAAGCAAGUCUGAUUAAAGCUCUAAAAUGCGUACACAUUGCCCGUCGCUCUCAUUAAAUUAGGUGAGAUAAGUCGUAACAUAGUAGGCGUACCGGAAGGUGCGCCUAGAAAGUC